rnacentral:tRNA from 1 species
AGCCUAUUAGCUCCGUUGGUUAGAGAGUCGUGCUAAUAAUGCGAAGGUCACAGGUUCGAGACUUGCAUGGGCCA